UACGUAGGGUGCAAGCGUUGUCCGGAAUUAUUGGGCGUAAAGAGCUUGUAGGCGGUUUGUCGCGUCUGCUGUGAAAUCCCGGAGCUUAACUCCGGGUCUGCAUUCGGUACGGGCAUGCUGGAGUUCGGUAGGGGAGACUGGAAUUCCUGGUGUAGCGGUGAAAUGCGCAGAUAUCAGGAGGAACACCGGUGGCGAAGGCGGGUCUCUGGGCCGAUACUGACACUGAGGAGCGAAAGCGUGGGGAGCGAACAGG
rnacentral:rRNA from 1 species